rnacentral:lncRNA from 1 species
GUUUAAUAAGUAGAGGUCGCAAGAACCACUCCCUCUACUCUCUCAAUUCCUCACUUCUUUCUUUAUCUUUUCUAUAGGGUUUUCAUUUUUCUAGCUAUGGCCUCUGCUGAGAUUUAGUCUCGUUGCUUUGUCGGAGGGAUCCCUGCGCCACCGACAACGAUGCGCUCGAAAGGGCCUUCGCUCCUUUUGGUGAGAUCAUUGAAUCGAAGAUCAUAUGACCAUGAGACCGGAAGGUAAGGGGUUUUGGAUUCGUCACAUUCAGCAACAUAAAGGUAGCAGCCGGGGAGGCGGUGGUUACGGUGGCCGUCGUGAGGGUAGAGGCGGUGAUACAGCCGUGGUGGUGGUAUAGCUAUGGAAGCGGUGGUGGCCGGGAUUGUAAAUAUGGAAAUUAUGACUAAAAGAUAGAUUUGACU